GAUACUGACAGUGGGUUCUGGAUGGUGAACCAACAACUGAACACUUGUCUGUUCCAGGAGCCAUUGUACAGCUCACCAAACACACUGGAAUUCUGCUUGGGUUGCUAGGUAACAGCACAGUGUGAAUGAGGUAUCAGGAGAAUUUGGAAGCUAAUCCUUUUCCUAUGGAGAGAAAAGAUUCACUUAUUGCCUAAAAACAAGCAGGUGUCUCUUUAAAUCGUUUGCCUGUUUUUACCCUCCUAGAUGAUCUUCUAAUCACAUUUUACAUCCAAUAUCCACUUUAAAAUAGAAACAUUAUGACUGAAUAUGAUUCAAAGAACUUCCUGUCCUUUCGUGGUCUGAUUAGCCGUCCUCACUGUUCACUGAUUUGUUAGCAACAACAUCCAUAGCAACGGUUGAGUCUCUCCGAAGCUCCUUGGCGACACAAAGCUGAGCAGAACAAACGCCGCGCUGAGCGCCUCCGGCUACAUUUGGCACUUCGGCCGUUUAUGACGUCGGUUCUGUAUCCGUGAGCAACCAUUGAUCUCCUUUUCCUCCCCGAUCCGUGGAAGCGUCACGUUGCACGGCCGACGCCCCUCAGAGUUACGUCACCCUGUCGUUUUAUAAAACGGAUGAUGGCAAAGACGAAACACAAAUAGCCCAGCGGCGACCUUCGGCUCCCCGACGAGGAAGAGGAGGGUGAGAAAGAGCUGUGACCUUCAACUGCGCCGCUGGAACCAGUUCAGGUCCCAGUAGACUGAGUGAACUGAACAGGUUUACAUUUGUGACGGUCCCACCUGAACACUGUAAACAGAGAACAACCACAGUUUCUACUGCAGAUAUUAUUACAGACUUUAAACAACAAACAUAAACUUAUAGAAAUGAUGACUUUGUUUUACUAAUACAAUAGUUCUAUUGCUAAAUUAGUUGACUUAUAACAAAUUAUUCCUCUAUGUUGAGGACUUUUACUGAUCUGAAAAAAUCUCCUAUACGUUUCUGACUAGUUAAUUCUUCCUCCUUUCAACUACAUGACAGAACGUCACUUGAUACGAUUUGGUGUUUUUACAGUACAGACACAUCAUGUCAUACAUAGACUUAGAGGAAACUGGCUGAGUGCAACUAUUUCAACCUUUUCAUCAGAUAAUAUCUGUCCAAUGGGAUUCUGUAUAUUUAAUACAUAUAUUCAGAAAACAUUAAAUAACUCUUGUACUGCUAUAUAUUUCCUGUAACACAUUGCUGUAUAACUUUUCCUCUUCACUGUUUCUCUGAGUCGCCAGCAUCUCACUGCAGAUACUGGUGACUUCGUAGGAAAACUGUUAAAAGCAGAAAAGAGAAAUUUAAUCCAGUUUGUGGUGAUAAAAUACUGAAAUACAGUCUAAUGACCUAAAUAUCACCAAUAUUAUGGAAAGCUACUCAAUAACCAGCAUUGAAUAAUAAAGGUUUAAAAUGAAGUUGCAUUUCCACCAAUCCGCCACUAGAGGGCAGAAGAAGACCAGGAAACAAAACAUCAGCGACGGCAUCGACCAGGGAGCAAGAGAGAAAUCAUUGUGACCUUUAACCUCUAUGAGGAGCCCUUCAGAAGAGCUGCAUCAGGUCAAAGGUCACUCUCAAACACUCCAGAAGGAAUCCGGCUCACAUCUGUAAACAACUGGACUACAGACAAACAAAACUUAUGACUUUGAUUGGAUUACAAUCACUUGACAUGUUGGAUUAUUAUAUUAUAAUUAUUACAGUGAUGAAGAACCAGAACCAGAUCAGAAAAUUCCAACCGCUGAUCCAGGACCAGAAAUACAGUAGAGAGUCUCUGCUGAUCAGCUGCUCGACCUCCAUUCAUCCUCCUCUUCCUCACACAAACACACACACACACACUGACACACUCCUCCACCAUCGGUUCUCUGGUCGGUUCUGGAUCCCUGAGGGACGCGGCUGCCUGCUGUGAGCAGAAGAACCGGGCCAGAGGGGGUGUGUGUGUGUGUGUGUGUGUGUGUGACUACUCUCAGAAGUCAUGACAAAAUGACCACAAACAUUUCAGAAAAACAUUGAACACCUUUGGAUUCUUUUAUAAAAUAAUCACUUGUUAUUUGAUUUCAUCUUUUUCACCAGAGUUUCCAGUUGGUCCUGGUUUUUCUUUUACUAAUUACAAUUAAAUGCUAAAAAAAAACAAUCUUUCCACCUUUUAUGUUGUAGAAAGUUACAAAAAAUGUUCCCUAGUCGUACAUCUCUUCUUAAUUGUUUACCUAAAUCUCUAGUUUAACUUUAAACACAUUUAGAUUUUAGGUUGAUUACAGCUGAUCACUAAAUAACUUUGAAUUUCAUGUUACAAUUAAAAUGACAGAACUAAACUUCAUCUGGCUGAUUUCACAACAACACAAGUUUCAGAUGGUCACACAUUUUCGAUGCACACGUCUAACAUCUGUAUUUUUGUUAAUACAAAUUCACAUUCAUUAAAAUAAAUAGAUGCACUUUUCAUUUAUAAAGAAACUUCAACAAUAAGACAAUGACCUGAUAAUCACACGACUAGAUUUCACUUUUUGCUAACUUCCUAAAUUGGUCCAACAAUUCUUUACAUCACAUUGCAGAAAGUUAAUAAAUGAGCAUUUUGAAAAAUAAUAACUAAAAGUCAUCAGAGAAUAAUUAUGGUAACUAUAAUUGUGCUACAUUACUCUCGUUAAGUCAGUUAAUUACUUUUAAUACAAACUUUUUUCUACAUAUUUUAACACUUUCAUCUACUAUUUUAAAAUGAGCAAAAUAUAUUAAUUUCUAUCCAUUAAAUACUAAAAUAAGCUGGUUUAACUACCUAAACUUGAUUCUAUGAAUCAGAUCAUUUUUACAGCGUUUAUACUACAGAUUAAGGUUUCAGAUCCGUCUCUCUAUAUAUACAGUUUCUAGAUUUUCACAUUUUUAUUCUCCUAAUAUAUAAAAUGUUGAUUAUGUGAGGCUGAAAACUGAUAGAGAACCAACCAACCAGCCUCCUCUGGUUUAUUUCACAUGAAUCAAGUUGUGCUGUUUUUACUCUCUCUAAAUAUCACAUGUGAAAACCUGACAUGUGUAAUAUGUGAAAUACUUGUAAAGGUUUUCUUUUUUUGCAGUGUAAAGGUGAAACAUUUCUACCUUCCAACUAAUUUUACUGAGAUGUCUGAUUGAAAACUUGGAAUAUGGAUAAAUCAGAGAUUAUUUCAUCACUACUACACUGCAAAAACACAAAAAUAUUAACCAAUAUUUCAUCUACAACUUACUGCAAACAUUUUCCAUUAAAAGCUUCUUUACAGACGCAGAGCAGCUCGUUUCAGGUGAAUCAUCUCUUCAAACUAGUAUUUUAUUUUUAGCACAUUUUCCAUUUUGAGUCAUGAAAUCAUCUGCCUGCGAAAUUUGUUCUUUUUAAUGAUUAUUAAGGAAUUAAUUAU